GGCGUGGCUGAUGAAAAUCUGACCUUAGGUGGGUCUAUUUUGGACCGUUUUGGUUCAAAGCGUUGGACCUAUCAAUGUUAGGACUUGUCAUAGUUACACUGACACGCU